rnacentral:rRNA from 1 species
GACGAACGCUGGCGGCGUGCCUAAUACAUGCAAGUCGAACGCAGUGGGGACGGGUGAGUAACACGUGGGUAACCUCCCAUCAGAGGGGAUAACACUUGGAAACAGGUGCUAAACCGAUACUGAUGGAUGGACCCACGGUGCAUUAGCUAGUUGGUGAGGUAACGGCUCACCAAGGCCACGAUGCAGAGCCGACCGGGGAGGGUGUCCGGCCAACCUGGAACGGAGACACGGCCCAGCCUCCUACGGAAGGCAGCAGAAGGGAACCUUCGGCAAUGGACGAAAGCCUGACCGAGCAACGCGCGGGGAGUGAAGAAGGUUUUCGGACCGUAAAACUCUGUUGUUAGAGAAGCGGUAUCUAACCAGAAAGCCACGGCUAACUACGUGCCAGCAGCCGCGGUAAUUC